UCUAGAACCCAAGAUAUGGACUAAACACUGAACAGUGUCUAGGCUGCAGGACAUAUUUGGACUCCAAAAAGGCAGAAUUGAGUUUUGAACGCAUCAUGAAUAUUUUAGGCUUAUGUCUUAGCUUUCCAUC
rfam:Populus trichocarpa scaffold_17_contig_197, whole genome shotgun sequence.